UUCUUCUUCUUCUAACGAAAUCGACUCUCUUGAACUCAGUUCUUCUACAGAUCUCAAAGUUUCUUCAGAUGCUGCUUCGCCUCCAUCUCUCGUCGUCGUCAUCGCCUUCCAGUUCGAGGCUUCGGAUUUUAGAAAUGUUUCGAUAAAACUCAUCAACAUAAAUGCUUUCACUGCACUUGUCUUCUAUCGAUCGGCGGUGGAGAUGAACUGGUUUCACGUUUCGUGCCAUGCAACGCCGUCGUUGGGGAACUAUCUACUCUGCAAGGGAUGAAUGAGGCGUAGGGAGAGGCAUAAGGUUAUGAAGCGUGGUCAUAUUCCGAUUGUAGUGUUUUGAUGAUGGCGACGUUUCUGCAAAACAAUGGUGAAAGCAGUAUUUGUUAGGAACCGUUAGCGGUAGCCGUCAUAUGCCGUUUGUUCUCAAGCCCUCGUUCUUUCUGGCUUGCAACUAAGCGCCAUUAGUUGCAGGCUGCCUUUAGUUCGGUUGGAUGUUAUUCGUUCCUCCGGUAUUGUUUCUGUAAGACAUCAGUUCUCAUCCUUACCCUCUUCAACCAAUGUUUCCUCGCAAAUCACAGAAUUUGAGGUGUUGGCUAAAAACAGAUUUUUCUCAACGUUAAGAAAGUUUUAAGUUUCUACUUAAGACCAUUACAAACUGAGCGUGGGCUGUAAGCCAAAGAAAAAAAUGCAAAAGAAGAUGAGAGAGAAUAGCAAAAUCCUGCUAGCUGCUUGACUUGUUGGGGAAUACAUCUUGAUUGGAAGUUUUCCAGAAAAUGUCGACGAGAAAAAAAACUGGAACCUACAAAAACAGGUGCCUAAGAUUAUAUUUGAGCCUGAGAUGUACUCAAGAGAUGCAUGCUAAAGAACUGGUUAUGUUAUUAGGCUAUUUUGGAGACCUAGUGCCCCAAGAUGUAAUGAACUUUAAGUGCAAUUGACGCAUGAAGAGAGGACCUGUAGUAUAAUUUGGAUAAUCUAGGCCAUCUCCGACUCAUACCUUAGCAUAUCCAUGUAACUUUGGCAAUGCAGGCUUCUCUGUCAGCUGUCUAUUUCUGAACUCUUUGGCACAGUCAAAAGUAUCCCCUUCAUGUGGAGCUAGAAGACAAGGCUUUGCGUGCCCUCCCAAGAACUCCAGGCUAUGGAUGGAAAUUUUUAUGGAGCUCUUGGUGAUGGCCAGGAUGAUUACUUAGAUGAGACCGUAAAUAUGGUAUUAUUUAUACUUCAUGACAAAGGAGUUGUAUCCUAGUAAUUUUAAUAUGAAUUGCCCAUUCAUUUAAUGCUAUACGUCCAUGCCAGUGAUGAUCCAAAAUCUUUCACGUCAUUCCAUUCAUUUCAUGGAUCUCAUUCCUCUUAGGUGAUGCUCCUCAGCCUAAUAAUUGUCUAGCUAUUUUAAAUUUUUAAUGUUCUAUUUUAAGUUGUAAAGGGAAAUUGAACGAGGAAUAUGAUUCAGCUUCUAUGUGUUAUUGAUAAAAUUGAAGCUCUUGGUGAAUAAUGUACAUAUAUAGGUAAAUUUCAGUCGGUCUUUGCUUGAUUUAGACACUCACCGGCAGUUGGACUAGAUCAGAUCAAAUGAUCUCACUUGGAGGAAAGAGAAUUCGGGGUAAAAAAAAUCUAACUAAACUCUAUUUCACGAAUACAAUCCCGCUGUCACGUCAUUUACUAUUUUUCAAGUCCUUUCGUUGAAUUUUGUUGCUUGGUCACCAGUUCUUGAUCUAUUAUGCUGGUUGUAGUGAAUUUAGAUGGUCGAACAUGGAUAUAACGUCCAAUUUUCUAUUCUAGCCUCCACUCAAUCUUCACAAACACUUGCUUCUUUUACUUGCAAUCUAAACAUUAUUAUUUUAUACCAAGACUUCAUAAAUCUUUUACUUAAACUGUAGGAUUAAUCCCCGCUCAGGAUGUUGAAUCCGCACCUUAUUGAGUGUGCUAAAUAUCAUUUAGACUAUAUUUAUGUGCACACAUUAUUUUCCAAAAUCCAUCACAUUAAUGGAUGUAUGUGAUGUAUUAAUAUAUACAUAUAUAUAAUGUUGCUCAUAAUCUUGCAUUGGUUUAGGAGACUAAGAUAAUCUCAAUCUUCUUGUAUCGUCUAUUCACUUGAGCCCAUUGAUUCUCCCAUUUUUGUGCAAAAAUUUGGCAGGACGAAGGUUAUUGCCCCUACAUCUUCUCAAUGGUGGUGAGCUUGUAUGACCUCAAUCUUGCAACUGCUUGGCUGCAGAAUUAUUCAAUCAACCUAUUUGGCAUAUAUUAUAUUAACGUAUACAGAUUUGAAAUAAUGGCAUCCAUCUAUGAUCUAUAUAAGAAUUUUUUAUUUAUUUUUAUUUUUUGUUUAUUUUUAAAGCAAUCGUUGCUACUUAAACCCAAUAUUAACUAACUACUUUUUAUUACAAUUUUAUAAACAAAUAAUGGACUCAUCUUAUAAAACUUCUUACAACUCUAUUGAAUUUUAACGUUCCUUGAUUUUUUUGUUUCUUUGGUUUGCCGUUAACUUAAGCUUUUUCUCUCUUUUUCCCUUUAUUUCUUUAUUUUUACUAUUCUUGAUUUCUAGUUUUUGUUAAAAUACAACAUUAACUAUCCAAAAAUAUAACACUAACUAUCUAGAAGCUUCUUAGAAUUUCUACACAUUUCUCUUACGGGUAAUAGCUAGUCAUUCUAAACAAGAUGGUAAAUAAAUAUUUAAAGAAAAGAAUCUAGAAAUAUCUUAGACAUUUCCCUUAGGUUCCAAGGAAUUCUAGAAAAUUCCUAUGGAUAAGGAUAGAUUAAUUAGAUGUGUCUAGAAUAUGUAAGAUCCAAAAAGGGCCUAGAAAAAUCUAUCAACUUGGGCUCCAAGGAUCCAUCUCCUAUUUUGAUAGAUGUUUCCCGAAGAAGGUGAGAAAGUGUGAGAGUUUCAGUGUCCAUCUUUCUACUUUCCUAAUAAAAAUAUCUUUCUUCAAGUGGUUGUCUCUUUCCUUUUGUGCUAAUUUAAUCAACAAGUGGUAUCUGUCCAUCUUUCUACUUUCCUAAUAAAAAUAUCUUUCUUCAA